GACAGAGGGUGCAAACGUUGUUCGGAAUUACUGGGCGUAAAGGGCUCGUAGGCGGCCAACUAAGUCGGACGUGAAAUCCCUCGGCUUAACCGGGGAACUGCGUCCGAUACUGGAUGGCUUGAGGUUGGGAGAGGGAUGCGGAAUUCCAGGUGUAGCGGUGAAAUGCGUAGAUAUCUGGAGGAACACCGGUGGCGAAGGCGGCAUCCUGGACCAAUUCUGACGCUGAGUGAGCGAAAGCCAGGGGAGCAAACGGG
rnacentral:rRNA from 1 species